GCCAGAGUGAUGCAGCUCGUCGCCGAUGUGGGUGACCGGGAGCCUGUGGAUCACCUGGGAGUAUGUAGGAGAGCUGGGAUCCAAAUCCACCGUCGCAAGGUAAUCCGGCUUGUUAAUUCCAGUGCCUGCAUAAUUCAUGUGUAGCCCACUGCACCCAUGAAUACAAAAUUCACAACAAGGCGAACAUCUAAUCUCUGCAGUGUUCACAUGGUUUGUGUGCAGGCGUUCCCCGGAGUAGAAAGUAGAAACCAUGUGAACCCCUGUAAAGUCUUAAACUAUGGAAACAGAAAGUAUCAUCUCAUCUGUAAACGACAUGGAGAAAGGCCUAUUUAAUCGAGUUCCAAAACCAUUGGGGAUCCAUGCGGGAACAAUUCUUGUCCGGUGCAGCCUCGGCUAAAUUAUAUAAAAGGGUCGCUUUCCAAUUUCACCCCACCUAUCCUGUACUAAAUAAACGUUACGAAUUGAAUUGCUCGCUGAUGAGCUCCUGACUAAUCAUCCAAGAUCUACGCGCACGUCCCCAUAUGUCCGCAGCAGGAUCCUCCUGGCUACAGUCCUACAGGCAUGGUGAGGCAGAGGAAGCACGC
rnacentral:lncRNA from 1 species